UACGGAGGGGGCUAGCGUUGUUCGGAAUUACUGGGCGUAAAGAGUUCGUAGGCGGUGCGGCAAGUUCGGUGUGAAAUCUCCCGGCUCAACUGGGAGGGUGCGCUAAAUACUGCCGUGCUCGAGUAUAGGAGAGGUAAGCGGAAUUCCUGGUGUAGCGGUGAAAUGCGUAGAUAUCAGGAGGAACACCUGUGGUGUAGACGGCUUACUGGACUAUAACUGACGCUGAGGAACGAAAGCGUGGGUAGCAAACAGG
rnacentral:rRNA from 1 species